GUUGGUUUGCAGUUGGCAGUAUCCUUCAGCGGAGAAGGUUCAAUACUUGCUAUUGGUGGUGAAGAUGGGCAUUUAAGAGUUUUCAACUGGCCUACCAUGGGGUCUGUUCUCACAGAAAUCGGUACUAAAACAUCGAUUAAGGAUCUUACUAUCAGUUCCGACGGGAAGUUUCUUGCUGUGAAUAGGA